rnacentral:misc_RNA from 1 species
GAUGAAGAACGUAGCGAAAUGCGAUAACUAAUGUGAAUUGCAGAAUUCAGUGAAUCAUCGAGUCUUUGAACGCACAUUGCGCCCCCUGGUAUUCCGGGGGGCAUGCCUGUCCGAGCGUCAUUGCUGCCCUCAAGCACGGCUUGUGUGUUGGGCUCCGUCCCCCCGGGGACGGGUCCGAAAGGCAGCGGCGGCACCGAGUCCGGUCCUCGAGCGUAUGGGGCUUUGUCACCCGCUCUGUAGGCCCGGCCGGCGCCAGCCGACAACCAAUCAUCCUUUUUUCAGGUUGACCUCGGAUCAGGUAGGGAUACCCGCUGAACUUAAGCAUAUCAAUAAGCGGAGGA